GAGUACGUAGCUCAGCGGUAGAGCAUUGGACUUUUAAUCCACUGGCCCCGAGUUCAAAUCUCGGCGUACUUA
rnacentral:tRNA from 1 species